UAGGGAAUCUUCGGCAAUGGACGAAAGUCUGACCGAGCAACGCCGCGUGAGUGAAGAAGGUCUUCGGAUCGUAAAACUCUGUUGUUAGAGAAGAACAAGGACGUUAGUAACUGAACGUCCCCUGACGGUAUCUAACCAGAAAGCCACGGCUAACUACGUGCCAGCAGCCGCGGUAAUACGUAGGUGGCAAGCGUUGUCCGGAUUUAUUGGGCGUAAAGCGAGCGCAGGCGGUUUCUUAAGUCUGAUGUGAAAGCCCCCGGCUCAACCGGGGAGGGUCAUUGGAAACUGGGGGACUUGAGUGCAGAAGAGGAGAGUGGAAUUCCAGGUGUAGCGGUGAAAUGCGUAGAUAUAUGGAGGAACACCAGUGGCGAAGGCGGCUCUCUGGUCUGUAACUGACGCUGAGGCUCGAAAGCGUGGGGAGCAAACAGG
rnacentral:rRNA from 1 species